rnacentral:misc_RNA from 1 species
UGGUUCUGGCAUCGAUGAAGAACGCAGCGAAAUGCGAUAAGUAAUGUGAAUUGCAGAAUUCAGUGAAUCAUCGAAUCUUUGAACGCACAUUGCGCCCCUCGGCACUCCGGGGGGCAUGCCUGUCCGAGCGUCAUUGAAGACUAUCAAGCCCGGCUUGGUCUUGGGUGCGGUCCUGGGACCCGCCCGUAACCCGUCGGCGGUGCCGGUUUCGGCCCUGAGCGUAGCAGAGAUUACUCGCUCUGGGGCCGCGGCGGCGCCCGCCAGCAAGUUUUUACCUACGGUUUGACCUCGGAUCAGGUAGGGAUACCCGCUGA